rnacentral:rRNA from 1 species
ACGAACGCUGGCGGCAUGCCUAACACAUGCCAGUCGAACGAUGCCUUCGGGCAUAGUGGCGCACGGGUGCGUAACGCGUGGGAAUCUGCCUUUCGGUUCGGAAUAACUCAGGGAAACUUGAGCUAAUACCGGAUAACGUCGCAAGACCAAAGAUUUAUCACCGAAAGAUGAGCCCGCGUAGGAUUAGCUAGUUGGUGAGGUAAAGGCUCACCAAGGCGACGAUCCUUAGCUGGUCUGAGAGGAUGAUCAGCCACACUGGGACUGAGACACGGCCCAGACUCCUACGGGAGGCAGCAGUGGGGAAUAUUGGACAAUGGGCGAAAGCCUGAUCCAGCAAUGCCGCGUGAGUGAUGAAGGCCUUAGGGUUGUAAAGCUCUUUUACCCGGGAAGAUAAUGACGGUACCGGGAGAAUAAGCCCCGGCUAACUCCGUG